rnacentral:lncRNA from 1 species
GGACAUGGGUUUGAUCCCUGGUCCCACUCAGUGGGUUAAGAUCUGGUGUUGCUCUGAGCUGCAGUGUAGGUCACAGAUGAGGCUCGGAUCUGAUGUGGCUGUGGCGUGGGCCAGCAGCUUCACUUCAAUUCGACCCCUAGCCUGGGAACUCCCAUAUGCCACAGGAAUGACCCUAAAAAUACAAAAAAAAAAAAAAAGGUAAAAAUAUAUCCCUCCCCUAGUUAAUGUUUUGGUAUGUAUCUUUCUGGCCAUUUCCUGGAUUUACUAUUUAGAAAUUUAUCAGUAAUAAAAGAUGGGACUUGCUUCCAGUAUCAGGAGAAGGUUUCUUAGUGGAAUAGUGUAUCAUUUGCCGUUACCAUAGGCAAACUCUGGGACAUUUCUGUUCUGUAGUUGAGGAAACUGAAGCUUAAAAAAGUGAUUUGCUCAAGAUCUUACUACCAGUAAGCUGCAAAACUCAUUUCAGAAUCUGUGUCUGGGUUCGGAGUCCAUGUGUGCGUGCCCUUUGGCUGCUUCAUGCUGCAGGAGCUGUGGGGACAGAGGCGGGAGUCAUUGACUCACUGGAAGGAGGCUCUUAAAGAAGGGACGAUUGAGCAGGUCUUCACAGAAGAGUCUGAGUUAAUCACAUGGUGAGAGUGAGCAGGGAACUAGCAUUCCAGUCAUGGCACCAGCUGGGGCAAACACCUGAGGCCCAAAGCAUAUUUGGGGAGUGGGGAGAAGUUCACUGUCACUGGUGGUAGCAGGUGAAAGUGAGGUGGAUGUGGAGCUAGAAAGUCUAUUGGUGUCAGAGCUGAAAGAUCUUUUUUUUUUUUUAAUGUUUAUUGAAUUAAUGAAUAUAUAAUUCACUUUGGAGAAUUAGGGAUUUGAUGUAUUACUCCUCUUAUGAGUCUGUCAAUUUCUUUUCUUUCUUUCUUCUUCUUCUUUUUUUUUUUUUUUUGGUCUCUUUUCUAGGGCCACACCCCUGGCAUAGGGAGGCUCCCAGGCUGGGGGUCUAAUCCGAGCUGUAGCUGCCAGCCUACAGCAAUGCAGGAUCCAGAGCCGCGUCUUAGACCUACACCACAGCUCACGGCAACACUGGAUCCUUAACCCACUGAGCUAGGCCAGGGAUGGAACCCGCAACCUCAUGAUUCCUAGUCGGAUUCGUUAACCACUGUGCUAUGAUGGGAACUCCAGAAGCUGAAGGAUCUUAAAUUCCAUGCUAUGAAUGCUGGGGUUUUUUUUGGGUUUGUGGUUUGUUUGUUUUGACCACGCCCAAGGCAUGUGGAAGUUCCCAGGCCAGGGAUCAAACCCACGCUACAGCAGCAAUCCAAGCUGCAGCAAUGACAGCACUACGUCCUCAACCCACUGUGUCACAAGAGAACUCCUAUUUUCUUAAACUGGUUUAAGUGGGGGAACCAGAGUUUUGUUUAUUUACAAGAUUUGUCAGACAUACGGAAAAGCACAGAAUACUACUAAUAAUAGCAUCUGUGUACCCAUCCCCCAGGCUAACAGUGUCACAGUGGAUCCUCCUGAGUACCCCCCUCCCUCCACCUAGGCCCGUGCUCUCAAACACCACGCCUUUUUCUUUUCUUUUUUCGGCCAUACUCACAGUAUAUGUAAGUUCCUGGGCCAGGGAUCAAACCCAAGCUGCUGCAGUGACAACACCUGAUCCUUAACCCUCUGCGCUCAGGAGAAUUCCACACCAUGUCUUUUUUUGUGUAUAUUGUUUCUAAAAUACAUCCAUGUUCGUACAUACAGAACUAGGGAGCUAAUUUGGAAUUUUUCCAUUGUCAAUUCAUCUAAUAUAGUAAAAGAAAUAAAAGCUUGAGUUUACAAAAUCACAAGUUCCCCCUCAGGCUGGUUUGACAUGUUUGCAUUUGGGUGAAAGUAUUUCCUGAACUUUGUGGCACAGUUGAAGGUUUAUUCCUUGUACUUUGCCUAUUGCCUGGAAAAGCUGCCAUUUCCCCAAGAAGUCCAGGUUCCGUUUAGUGAGGAAUGGCAUUUAUAAACUGAAUAUCAGCUUGGUUCCUAGGAUUAUUAGUGUUUUCUUCUAAAACUAAGAUGCCUCUGUGUGUGUGUGUCUGUGUGUGUGUGAUGUUUAGCUUUCUAAUUCACCUGGAGUUUUUGUUUUGUUUUGUUUUGUUUAUAGCCAUACUUGUGGCGUAUGGAAGUUCCCAGGCCAGGGGUUGAAUUCAAGCUACCACUGCCACCUCGUAGCUGCGGCAGUGCCAGAUCCUUUAACCCACUGAGCUGGGCUGGGGAUCGAACCUGCACCUCCACAAUGACUCGAGCCAUACAGUGAAUGUGGUUAACAUUACCAAUGACGGUGUGGCUUGCCAUCCAUUCCUGACGGGGUGCACUUGAAAGAGCACAGUGUCACCUCUCUGGUGUUGCAGUCAAGAAAGUGGGACCCGAGUCUAGCAUGCAGGUUGAGCUCGACCCUGUAGAAGGAAUGGGCUGUGCUCUAUCAAGGACGCAGAAGUCAGGAAAAUGCUGGAGAGCUACCCCGGAUUGGCAAGGCACCAUUAAGACAGGACAACUUGUGCUCCUGGGUGGGAUCCUGGACCAGAAAGGGAAGAGAAACACUGUCGUGAUAGUUUGCAAGAUUGGAAUGGAUUCCAUGGAUUGGAUGGGUGGUGUAGUAUGAAUGUUCGUUUCCUGAUGUGGAGAGUUUUAUGCUGGUUAUGUAGAUGAAUGUUCUUGUUUUUGGAAAUGUACACUAGAAUAUUUAGGGGUGGUGGGGCACCAUGUCUACAGUCCUACUCUCAGGAGGGUCCAGAAGAAGCUAAUGGGUAUUUAAGCAGGGCGUAUAUAGUCAUCCCUCCGUACCUGCAGGGGUUUGGUUCCAGGACCUCCUCAGACACAGAAAUUCUUUCAUGGAUGCUCAGGUCCCUCGUGUAAAAUGGCAUAGUAUUUGCAUAUGACCUGUGCACAUCCUUCAUAUGUCAUCUCUGGAUUACUCACAAUACCUAGUACAAUGUAAAUGCUACAUAAAUAGUUGUACAUGCAAUGUGAGUACUGUAUAAAUAGUUGCUGGGCACCCAGCCAAUUCAAGCUGUGCUUGAAUCCCCCCCCCCAAUAUAUUUGAUUUGCGGUUGGUUGAAUCCAUAGACGUAGAGCCCAUAGAUACAAAGGGCUGACGGUAUAGGUAAUGAGUAUGCCUAGGUAAUGGAGUGAAUGAUAUACCAUUAAAUUUCAAAAAAUGCUGUGAGUUGGGGAAUCUUGUUGAAAGGGGUAUGUGAGCACUGUACUAUUAUAUUUUUCUGUACAUUUGAAAUUAUUUCAAAAUAAAUUCUUUUUUAAGACCCUAUUGAGAUUUUGACUAGAACAUUAUUAGUUUUACAAAUUAAUCUGUGGAAGAUUGACCUCUUUAAGAUACUGCAUCUUUCCUGUAGAUACACUCUAUGUUUCUCUGGUUAGGUGGUUUUGUUUUUGAGCCCUUUGCGGUCCUUCAGUUUUUAAUUUUGUUGCUACUAUAAAAUGAAACAGUUUUUGCCUAUAAAUGGCAACAUUAAUUGCUUUCUGAGAUCCUUUUGUCUGUGAAGGUUUAGAUAAUAUAUACUUAUACAACCUUUAAGUGAGAAAAAAA